GCAGCGAAACGCGAUAGUUAAUGUGAAUUGCAGAAUUCAGUGAAUCAUCGAGUCUUUGAACGCACAUUGCGCCCAUUGGUAUUCCUUUGGGCAUGUCUGUUUGAGCGUCAUUACAACCCCUCAGCUAACGCUGGUUUUGAACCGGGACAGGUUGACACCUGCACCGGUUUUAAAGUUGUAAGCUCUGCUGGCUGCUCUGCCCCAACCGGAACAUAGUAAAAACUACUACUUGUUAAGGCGAGGCGAAGCGGUACGGCCUGAACAAAACCUACCCAUUUUUCUAAGGUUUGACCUCAGAUCAGACAAGGAUACCCGCUGAACUUAAGCAUAUCAAUAAGCGGAGGA
rnacentral:rRNA from 1 species